rnacentral:rRNA from 1 species
CCUACAUUGACGAGCGGCGGACGGGUGAGUAAUGUCUGGGAAACUGCCUGAUGGAGGGGGAUAACUACUGGAAACGGUAGCUAAUACCGCAUAACGUCUUCGGACCAAAGAGGGGGACCUUCGGGCCUCUUGCCAUCAGAUGUGCCCAGAUGGGAUUAGCUAGUAGGUGAGGUAAUGGCUCACCUAGGCGACGAUCCCUAGCUGGUCUGAGAGGAUGACCAGCCACACUGGAACUGAGACACGGUCCAGACUCCUACGGGAGGCAGCAGUGGGGAAUAUUGCACAAUGGGCGCAAGCCUGAUGCAGCCAUGCCGCGUGUGUGAAGAAGGCCUUCGGGUUGUAAAGCACUUUCAGCGGGGAGGAAGGCGGUGAGGUUAAUAACCUCAUCGAUUGACGUUACCCGCAGAAGAAGCACCGGCUAACUCCGUGCCAGCAGCCGCGGUAAUACGGAGGGUGCAAGCGUUAAUCGGAAUGACUGGGCGUAAAGCGCACGCAGGCGGUUUGUUAAGUCAGAUGUGAAAUCCCCGAGCUUAACUUGGGAACUGCAUUUGAAACUGGCAAGCUAGAGUCUUGUAGAGGGGGGUAGAAUUCCAGGUGUAGCGGUGAAAUGCGUAGAGACUGGAGGAAUACCGGUGGCGAAGGCGGCCCCCUGGACAAAGACUGACGCUCAGGUGCGAAAGCGUGGGGAGCAAACAGGACCUA